rnacentral:rRNA from 1 species
UACGUAGGGUGCAAGCGUUAAUCGGAAUUACUGGGCGUAAAGCGUGCGCAGGCGGUUUUGUAAGUCUGUUGUGAAAUCCCCGGGCUUAACCUGGGAAUGGCAAUGGAGACUGCAAGGCUAGAGUUUGGCAGAGGGGGGGUAGAAUUCCACGUGUAGCAGUGAAAUGCGUAGAGAUGUGGAGGAACACCGAUGGCGAAGGCAGCCCCCCUGGGUCAAGACUGACGCUCAUGCACGAAAGCGUGGGGAGCAAACAGG